UGGGGAAUAUUGGACAAUGGGCGGAAGCCUGAUCCAGCCAUGCCGCGUGUGUGAAGAAGGCCUUAGGGUUGUAAAGCACUUUCAGUGGGGAGGAAGGCCUUAAAGUUAAUACCUUUGAGGAUUGACGUUACCCACAGAAGAAGCACCGGCUAACUCCGUGCCAGCAGCCGCGGUAAUACGGAGGGUGCAAGCGUUAAUCGGAAUUACUGGGCGUAAAGCGCACGUAGGCGGUUAGUUAAGCUAGCUGUGAAAUCCCCGGGCUCAACCUGGGAAUUGCAGUUAGAACUGGCUAGCUAGAGUAUGGUAGAGGGGUGUGGAAUUCCAGGUGUAGCGGUGAAAUGCGUAGAUAUCUGGAGGAACAUCAGUGGCGAAGGCGACACCCUGGACCAAUACUGACGCU
rnacentral:rRNA from 1 species